CCUACGGGAGGCAGCAGUAGGGAAUAUUGCUCAAUGGGGGAAACCCUGAAGCAGCAACGCCGCGUGGAGGAUGAAGGUUUUCGGAUUGUAAACUUCUUUUUUUAGAGAAGUUAAUGACGGUACCUAUCGAAUAAUCACCGGCUAAUUCCGUGCCAGCAGCCGCGGUAAUACGGAGGGUGCAAGCGUUACUCGGAAUCACUGGGCGUAAAGAGCGAGUAGGCGGGGUAGCAAGUCAGAUGUGAAAUCCUAUGGAUUAACCAUAGAAUUGCAUUUGAAACUGGUAUUCUAGAGUAUGGGAGAGGUAGGUGGAAUUCGUGGUGUAGGGGUAAAAUCCGUAGAGAUCAAGAAGAAUACUCAUUGCGAAGGCGACCUGCUAGAACAUGACUGACGCUGAUGCACGAAAGCGUGGGGAGCAAACAGGAUUAGAUACCCGGGUAGUC
rnacentral:rRNA from 1 species